GUCCACGCUGUAAACGAUGGGUGCUAGGUGUUGCGGGUAUUGACCCCUGCGGCGCCGCAGCUAACGCAUUAAGCACCCCGCCUGGGGACUACGGCCGCAAGGCUAAAACUCAAAGGAAUUGACGGGGGCCCCGCACAAGCGGUGGAGCAUGUGGUUUAAUUCGACGCAACGCGAAGAACCUUACCCGGGUUAGAACCCCCUUGGAAGUCUGCAGAGAUGUGGAUGUGCCCUUCGGGGAACCAAGUGUCCAGGUGCUGCAUGGCUGUCGU
rnacentral:rRNA from 1 species